rnacentral:rRNA from 1 species
CGGACGGGUGAGUAAUGUCUGGGGAAACUGCCUGAUGAGGGGGAUAACUACUGGAAACGGUAGCUAAUACCGCAUAACGUCGCAAGACCAAAAGAGGGGGACCUUCGGGCCUCUUGCCAUCGGAUGUGCCCAGAUGGGAUUAGCUAGUAGGUGGGGUAACGGCUCACCUAGGCGACGAUCCCUAGCUGGUCUGAGAGGAUGACCAGCCACACUGGAACUGAGACACGGUCCAG